CGACAUACAGCCGCACGACUGGCGUAGGCCAUUAUCGCGAUCAAGUGAGGAGGACAGUGGCUAUUAUUCACAAUCUAAUGGCCUAUCCACUCCACCAAGAGCAGCAACAGCAUACUUAGCAGAUGCCUCUACACAAACUGACAUAUUCAUUAAAUCAGAAGCUGUCGAUGAGCCAGCCAUCUUAGUUGGUGAGAAUUUUAUAUUUACCCCCUCGGUGAUUCGAUACGCACCACCAGCGCAGGUGUUAGUUGCGGAUGCAACUGCGCAGAUUGAUGAGUUAUUCAUUCAACCAAACG